rnacentral:rRNA from 1 species
GACGAACGCUGGCGGCGUGGAUUAGGCAUGCAAGUCGAACGGUAGGAUACCUUCGGGUAUCUGAGAGUGGCGAACGGGUGAGUAACACGUAGGUGAUCUACCCUCAAGAUUGGGACAACCCAGGGAAACUUGGGCUAAUACCGGAUGAAAGCAGCAGUGAUGUUGUUUGAAAGGUGGCGUAAGCUGCCGUUUGGGGAUGAGCCUGCGCUCUAUUAGUUAGUUGGCGGGGUAAAGGCCCACCAAGGCGAUGAUAGAUAGGCGGCCUUAACGGGUGGUCGCCCACACUGGGAUUGAGAUACGGCCCAGACUCCUACGGGAGGCAGCAGUCGAGAAUAGUCUACAAUGGCCGAAAGGCUGAUAGUGCGACGCCGCGUGAACGAAGAAGCCCUUCGGGGUGUAAAGUUCUUUUAUAUGUGAGCAGUGCUUUCUAUGUGAACAGCAUGGGGAAGAGAUAUUAGCAUAUGAAUAAGCAACGGCUAACUCCGUGCCCAGCACG